AAGAGAGAGCAACACCAGCAAUGCACAUGCAAAGAGGAAAGGCCCUGCAAGGAUGCUAAGAACGAGGACGGCCAUCCGCCCACCAAGGAGAGAAGUAUCAGGAGGAACAAACCGGCCAACACCUUGAUCUUGGACUUCCAGCCUCCAGAACUGUCCGCAGCUUGGGCUACCUUCCAGCAUAAAGUCACUAAAGAUGUGCCGGGCAUGAUGAAGGAAGAAAGCGACUACAUGCUGAAGGAGAUGGUGCGGGGACUCGCUAGUACCUAUUGGCAGGACCUGGGGAACUUUGGUGGGUGCUUGAUAAUGGGGACUGGAAUAAAAACUGGCUAAGCAAAAA